rnacentral:rRNA from 1 species
UACGUAGGGACCGAGCGUUGUCCGGAAUCAUUGGGCGUAAAGAGCGUGUAGGCGGCCACUUAAGUCCUGCGUGAAAUCCUGCGGCUCAACCGCAGGCGGUCGUGGGAAACUGGGUGGCUAGAGUGCGGGAGAGGAGAGUGGAAUUCCUGGUGUAGCGGUGAAAUGCGCAGAUAUCAGGAAGAACACCCGUGGCGAAAGCGGCUCUCUGGAACGGUACUGACGCUGAGACGCGAAAGCGUGGGGAGCGAACAGG